rnacentral:rRNA from 1 species
UUAAGCAUAUCAAUAAGCGGAGGAAAAGAAACCAACAGGGAUUGCCUCAGUAGCGGCGAGUGAAGCGGCAAAAGCUCAAAUUUGAAAUCUGGCGUCUUUGGCGUCCGAGUUGUAAUUUGAAGAAGGUAUCUUUGGGCCCGGCUCUUGUCUAUGUUCCUUGGAACAGGACGUCACAGAGGGUGAGAAUCCCGUGCGAUGAGAUGACCCGGGUCUGUGUAAAGUUCCUUCGACGAGUCGAGUUGUUUGGGAAUGCAGCUCUAAGUGGGUGGUAAAUUCCAUCUAAAGCUAAAUAUUGGCGAGAGACCGAUAGCGAACAAGUACAGUGAUGGAAAGAUGAAAAGAACUUUGAAAAGAGAGUGAAAAAGUACGUGAAAUUGUUGAAAGGGAAGGGCUUGAGAUCAGACUUGGUAUUUUGCAUGCUGCUCUCUCGGGGGCGGCCGCUGCGGUUUACCGGGCCAGCAUCGGUUUGGAGCGGCAGGAUAAUGGCGGAGGAAUGUGGCACGGCUUCUGCUGUGUGUUAUAGCCUCUGACGAUACUGCCAGCCUAGACCGAGGACUGCGGUUUUUACCUAGGAUGUUGGCAUAAUGAUCUUAAGUCGCCCGUCUUGAAACCAC